rnacentral:rRNA from 2 species
AGGUGUUGUUGGGUAGGGGAGCGUUCUGUAAGCCGUCGAAGGUGGCCUGUGAGGGCUGCUGGAGGUAUCAGAAGUGCGAAUGCUGACAUAAGUAACGAUAAUGCGGGUGAAAAACCCGCACGCCGGAAGACCAAGGGUUCCUGUCCAACGUUAAUCGGGGCAGGGUGAGUCGACCCCUAAGGCGAGGCUGAAAAGCGUAGUCGAUGGGAAACAGGUUAAUAUUCCUGUACUCGGUGUUACUGCGAAGGGGGGACGGAGAAAGCUAGGUUAUCCGGGCGACGGUUGUCCCGGUUUAAGCGUGAAGGUGGAUGACUUUGGUAAAUCCGGGUCGUCAUUAACACUGAGGCGUGAUGACGAGUCACUACGGUGAUGAAGUAACUAAUGCUACGCUUCCAGGAAAAGCCUCUAAGCUCCAGGUAACAUCAAAUCGUACCCCAAACCGACACAGGUGGUCAGGUAGAGAAUACUCAGGCGCUUGAGAGAACUCGGGUGAAGGAACUAGGCAAAAUGGUGCCGUAACUUCGGGAGAAGGCACGCUGAUGGUA